rnacentral:lncRNA from 1 species
CAGCUGCCUCGGUCGCACUGCCCUAGCUUGUCGGCCGCCCGCCACUCGUCCGCUGCCGGCUGAUCGCCGCAGUCGCCCGCGCUCCAAGCUACCUGCAUGGGAGAUGAGAGAAGAAGAAGAGAGAUAAGAGGGAGAUAAUGAAGAGACAUAAAGAGGAAAAAAAAAGAAGAAAAGAGAGGAGGAUCCUAUAUUUUUUUUAUUUUCUCUCUACGGUUUUGAACGGGCUAAGAUUUCUAGUAUUGGAGUUUAGGAAUGUCUCGCAGACUUAAUGUAAAGUUGAGGAACAACAUGUGAACUUAUUCCCUCUUGGGUCUCGAUGCUUGUUGGCGCGGGCCCAAGGAAGAAGAAGCUCGCCAUUGGGCAUGGGCAUUUGCAUUGGCAGGCGCGCGCGUGCCAAAAGGAGAAAAAAAAACCUGUGGCGAAAGACUCAGCUUCCAUCUCCAUCGGUUCACUCAACUGUAAACUCCAGUUUCUCCUACCGUCACACGACCCAUGGCCAUCAGCACAACUCAAGAAAAAAACAAACAGCACCCCGUUUGUACUGUGUUUAGAAAAAAAAAGGAGCAAUUUUGUUGAAAUGACCGAAGGUGAUCAUUCAAUGUAAUUAAGAAAGGAAGAAAAAAUUACAAGAAAAAUUUUACAUCGACAGCUAGUUGUCAAGGAAAAAUGUGUAUCAAAACACACGCCCCGAAACAAGUGUCAACCGUCCAAAUACACACUACAGAGAGGAAAGACGGGCACCAAACCGGCUAUCACUAUGCGAGACCGAUCACCACCGAGAUAACGACACCACUACGACACGAAGACUCUAAAACGACGCCCUCACGAGGGUCGCGAUGCCAAAAGACAUCGUCGUCAUCUAUCUAAAGACCGAAUAAGGUUUUCACCCAGAGCUCCUUGCCAAGGGAGCAGGGAUACCUCAACAGUGCCCUUAGAACCGUUACUACAUCCGAAGGCCAAGCCACUACCACCGUGGUACGUCACUCAAUCUAAAACCACCAUCUAAACAUUGGUGGCAUAUGGCUUCCACCGCACACAGACCGACGCCCCUCCGUCGGUCAGCUUCAUUCAACCACCGUCCUUGAGAGCUGGCCCAAGACCUCUCCGUUCCACCACCUGCCAGCCUCCUCGCCAGAUCUGGCCGAUAUAGAACCCGGGAUUGGAUGACUUUGCUUUAGCAGCCUGAGCUUCCCCACUGACAAACUGCCGCCUCAAUUCAGCCUAGAAACUCCCCACAGAGAAGAGGAGAGGCUCCAGAAAGGAUGAGGAUGCUAACCGGCAAUGAGAAAGACGACCCACCGCCGCCAACUCCCUUAUCACAACCAUCUGGGCCUAUGCCGACACCCGACUCGUUGCCGCUCUGGCUCCGACGCCACCCGUCGGUGCUCCCGUUGCCCGGCCGCCGCUCCCCACGUAGUUGCCCAGCUGCCAAGGCCUGGUCGCUCUUGCCCGCACGGAAACACGCCGCCGCCAUGCCCACNNNNNNNNNNNNNNNNNNNNNACGUCGCGCCCCUCCGCCGCCGCGGCCGACCUCGGCCCUGCGCACAGGCUCGAGUACAUAACAAACAAAAAAUAUCUUCCUUCCCAGAAGCCAGAGAUAUAGCCUGGCACAACAAAACAAUAUCCUUCCGACCACAACUGUUUUCUGGUAAUCCUAUAUCCAACGCAAUCCUUUCGGCUUCUCCAGAAGAUGAGAUGAGCAACUUGAGAACUCCAUGCUUGAUGAUGCCAAACGCUCCCAUCCUGCACCAGCGUCGCACUGCUCCAUUUACUUAAACUUCAGAUGUCCCCAACAGCCAACAAUGCUAACAUCAGAUGAUUCUGUAGCAGCUUCUUCUUUUUACCACAAGCCAAUCCUAAUCCUCCCUACUAAACAUAAGUACUAAUACCCAAGAGGUAUCUGGGAACAUCAUGUAGGCAGAUUGGAGCUUCUAACAGACUAACACCACAGGGGUAAAUCAUGAGCGCACAAUCUUGCAUGAUUCAUGAUUGUGCAGAGAAAUGGUUAAGCAUCACGUACAUGCAAGUAAAAACACUUCCAGAGCUAAUUGGCUUCCAGUUUUUUACCCGCAACCCCCCAAAAUUGGAUUCUUAUUUUGCCAGAUUUGAUAGAUUUUACCAAUACAAAACUUACUCCAUAGCAGAUCACGGAAGCAGCUAAGCCAAAGAUCAAUUAUCUUUUAAGAAAAAAACUAAGUCAAAGAUCACGAUGGAAACGUCCUGGUUAUGGAAUUAUGGAAAUCACUGAAUGACAAGGUGAUUCAAGCAUUAUUGUUUGCAAUGAAACCAGAACUUUUCAGGCUACAACAAUCAAAAUGGUACAAUUUCCUAAGUGCCCUAAUGCAUAAAGGCAUUCGGGCAUAUGCUUGCAGAUAUGCUUCAGAUUAGAACAAUAAUAUUCACACAAAGGCAUUCGGGCAUAUGCUUGCUUGACUACGAUUGCAGAAGCUGAGUUCAGUUGAUGGUUGAUUGGGGUGUGGACACAUGUUCCCAGACCACAUCUGACAAGUUUUGUUCAAAUUCUAGAGCCAACAGAUGUUUCUAUGCUAUUACUCAUUAGAAGAGAAGCUAAAUUUAGUGCACAUUAGCUAAAACAUAAGUGGGAAUUCUUGUUGACAUGCAUUCAGCUAAAUAAAAGUAUUGCUUUUGUUAUAGAAAAGGCUUACAAUGUAAAAUCAUGGAUCAAAGGCCUGCCAACCCUAGGAGGAAAUAAGAGAACUUUCUUUGACACAGACUCUCCAGACUAUAGAGAUAUAUCUAAUGGUAUGAAAGCACGUUUGGCAUGCCAAUGGUUGAUGAUGAGCACUAUUUUGCUCACAUGAUGUCAGAAGUGUGCUACUGUAGCACAUCCAUGAAGUUUUUUUUUUCACAUAAGAAGGAAGAUGAUACUACAACCCCUGCCCUGGCAUUCUGAUGCACACAACUCAUAUGAGGGCUAAAUGUAGGCAUUCAUAUUUCAUAAUACUAUUUGCUUUGUUAUAAAUUAUAAGAUGUUUUGGCUCUCCCUAAAUUCAUAUGGAUGCUAAUGAAUCUAGACACAUAUGUAAAACAUAUUCAUGGAUCUAAGAAUCUAGGUAGGGCCAAACCAUCUUAUAAUAUGGAAUGGAGAGAGUAAUAUAUAUGUGAUUUCAAGCCAUAUGGUUGCCACAAAAAUUAUCCAAAAGGCAACUAGCUACGUAGAAUUAGCAGCAUCAAGUUCCAAAAAUAUAGCUAAACUAAAAAAAGCAACUCUAAAUUCCAAGUAGAACUAGCGGUUCUUAACUGAAAUGAACAAGGGGGGAAUAUAUAGUACUACCUCAUUCAAAAUAUAAGCAUAUCCAGGUUGUUUAGCAUAGACUAAGAAGAUAAAAGAUUCACUUAUACUCACCACAAUGGUCAAUUUUUGAAUUUCGAAUUGAUUAUAUUCCCUUUCUAAGAAUCUGAUUGGCUCUGAAUACAUUAAAAUGAUUGAAAUCAAGGGAAUCAGUGCAUAAAUGUUUAUAUUAUGGUACAAAAUUUGAACCAUAGAAAUGCUUAUAUUUUGGGACGGAUGGAGUAUUUCCAUAUAGGCCAUAGCGUGUUCAUCAUCUGAGAGCUAGAAUUGAGUUAAUACAUAGUAGCUUUGGCUAACUGAAAGCAGGCUGAGAAAAAUCAACAACAGCAAGCUGAGUAGCUUCCUCCUAGUUGCAAUUUGUCAUGCAAGUUUGAGAUAUCAGAAAGCUGCAAUAAGAGUCCCUAUGCAAUUGGAGCUUUAUGAAAGGGCUACCUAUGCAGGCUUAAAUCAAACACCCAUAGCAAAGCAGGUUUUGCAAAGCAGAAAUAAUAGAUAUGUGAGUUGAAGAGGAGGAACUAAAGAAGACAUGGAUCCAGUAUGCAACAGGAGGGGAGAACCUUUCUCCAAAUUACCAGAAACUAGGUGAAGUACUUUGCUUGAUGCAGCUGAGGAACAACAGCAAUGUUUUGGGAAUCAUUUACAUCAUGUAUAACCAGCUGUACCAAUCGAUCAUGAAAUUUACUGGCAUUUGUUUGCUGUGAAGUAAAACUAAAAGC